rnacentral:rRNA from 1 species
UACAGAGGUCGCAAGCGUUGUUCGGAUUCAUUGGGCGUAAAGGGUGCGUAGGUGGCGCCGUAAGUGGGGUGUGAAAUCCCGGGGCUUAACCCCGGGACUGCAUUCCAUACUGCGGUGCUUGAGGACUGGAGAGGAGACUGGAAUUUACGGUGUAGCAGUGAAAUGCGUAGAGAUCGUAAGGAAGACCAGUGGCGAAGGCGGGUAUCUGGACAGUUCCUGACACUGAGGCACGAAGGCCAGGGGAGCAAACGGG